UACGGAGGGUGCAAGCGUUAUCCGGAUUCACUGGGUUUAAAGGGUGCGUAGGUGGGUUGGUAAGUCAGUGGUGAAAUCUCCGUGCUUAACAUGGAAACUGCCAUUGAUACUACUGAUCUUGAAUUUUCUGGAGGUAAGCGGAAUAUGUCAUGUAGCGGUGAAUGCUUAGAUAUGACAUAGAACACCAAUUGCGAAGGCAGCUUGCUACAGGGAUAUUGACACUGAGGCACGAAAGCGUGGGGAUCAAACAGG
rnacentral:rRNA from 1 species